rnacentral:rRNA from 1 species
CUUCAGGCUCUCCAACCCAUUGUGAACAUACCUACGUUUCCCUCGGCGGGUACAGCGCGCGUCGCCCCAGGGCGUCGCGCGUCCGCCGGGGGCACCAAACUCGAAUUCCAGUGUCUCUCUGAGGGGCGAAAGCCCGCUAAAAAAAUAAAUCAAAACUUUCAACAAUGGAUCUCUUGGCUCUGGCAUCGAUGAAGAACGCAGCGAAAUGCGAUAAGUAAUGUGAAUUGCAGAAUUCAGCGAAUCAUCGAAUCUUUGAACGCACAUUGCGCCCGCCGGUACUCCGGCGGGCAUGCCUGUCCGAGCGUCAUUUCAACCCUCGGGCCCCCGCCUAGCGGAGGCCCGGCGUUGGGGAUCAGGGGCCUCAGCGGCCUCUGCCCCCUAAAUUCAGUGGCGGUCGCGCCGCAGCCUCCCCUGCGUAGUAGCACACCUCGCACCGGAGAGCGGCACGGCCACGCCGUAAAACCCCCCAACUUCUCAAGGUUGACCUCGGAUCAGGUAGGAAUACCCGCUGAACUUAAGCAUAUCAAUAAGCGGAGGAAAAGAAACCAACAGGGAUUGCCUCAGUAACGGCGAGUGAAGCGGCAACAGCUCAAAUUUGAAAUCUGGCCGCAAGGCCCGAGUUGUAAUUUGCAGAGGAUGCUUUUGGCGAGGUGCCUUCCGAGUUCCCUGGAACGGGACGCCAUAGAGGGUGAGAGCCCCGUACGGUAGCGCCACCGAGCCUCUGUAAAGCUCCUUCGACGAGUCGAGUAGUUUGGGAAUGCUGCUCUAAAUGGGAGGUGUAAGUCUUCUAAAGCUAAAUACCGGCCAGAGACCGAUAGCGCACAAGUAGAGUGAUCGAAAGAUGAAAAGCACUUUGAAAAGAGGGUUAAAAAGUACGUGAAAUUGUUGAAAGGGAAGCAUUUAUGACCAGACUUGGGCUUGGUUGAACAUCCGGCGUUCUCGCCGGUGCACUCUGCCAGCCCAGGCCAGCAUCAGUUUGCCCCGGGGGAUAAAGGUAGCGGGAAUGUGACUCCCCACGGGGAGUGUUAUAGCCCGCUGCGCAAUGCCCUGGGGCGGACUGAGGAA